UGGAUUAGCGGCGAACGGGUGAGGAGCACGUGAAGAAUCUGCCCUCCACUUUGGGAUAACACCGGGAAACCGGUGCUAAUACCAAAUAUUGAAACAUAAGUGGCAUCACUGAGUUUUGAAAGAAUUUCGGUGGAGGAUGACUUCGCGGCCUAUCAGCUAGUUGGUGAGGUAAUGGCUCACCAAGGCAACGACGGGUAGCCGGCCUGAGAGGGCGACCGGCCACACUGGGACUGAGACACGGCCCAGACUCCUACGGGAGGCAGCAGUGGGGAAUAUUGGGCAAUGGAGGAAACUCUGACCCAGCGACGCCGCGUGCGGGAUGAAGGCCUUCGGGUUGUAAACCGCUUUCGGUAGGGAAGAAGCGAAAGUGACGGUACCUACAAAAGAAGCACCGGCUAACUAUGUGCCAGCAGCCGCGGUAAUACAUAGGGUGCAAGCGUUGUCCGGAAUUAUUGGGCGUAAAGAGCUCGUAGGUCGUUUGUUACGUCGGAUGU
rnacentral:rRNA from 1 species